UGGGGAAUUUUGCACAAUGGGGGAAACCCUGAUGCAGCGACGCCGCGUGAUUUAGAAGGCCUUCGGGUUGUAAAAAUCUUUUGUAUAGGAAGAAAAUGACAGUACUAUACGAAUAAGGACCGGCUAAUUACGUGCCAGCAGCCGCGGUAAUACGUAAGGUCCGAGCGUUGUCCGGAAUCAUUGGGCGUAAAUGGUACGUAGGCGGGUAAGCAAGUUAGAAGUGAAAUCCUAUAGCUCAACUAUAGUAAGCUUUUAAAACUGCUCAUCUCGAGGUAUGGAAGGGAAAGUGGAAUUCCUAGUGUAGCGGUGAAAUGCGCAGAUAUUAGGAGGAAUACCGGUGGCGAAGGCGACUUUCUGGCCAUAACCUGACGCUGAGGUACGAAAGCGUGGGUAGCAAACAGG
rnacentral:rRNA from 1 species